GUUGAAAAAUUAGCGGAUGACUUGUGGCUGGGGGUGAAAGGCCAAUCAAACCGGGAGAUAGCUGGUUCUCCCCGAAAGCUAUUUAGGUAGCGCCUCGUGAAUUCAUCUCCGGGGGUAGAGCACUGUUUCGGCAAGGGGGUCAUCCCGACUUACCAACCCGAUGCAAACUGCGAAUACCGGAGAAUGUUAUCACGGGAGACACACGGCGGGUGCUAACGUCCGUCGUGAAGAGGGAAACAACCCAGACCGCCAGCUAAGGUCCCAAAGUCAUGGUUAAGUGGGAAACGAUGUGGGAAGGCCCAGACAGCCAGGAUGUUGGCUUAGAAGCAGCCAUCAUUUAAAGAAAGCGUAAUAGCUCACUGGUCGAGUCGGCCUGCGCGGAAGAUGUAACGGGGCUAAACCAUGCACCGAAGCUGCGGCAGCGACGCUGAUGCGUUGUUGGGUAGGGGAGCGUUCUGUAAGCCUGCGAAGGUGUGCUGUGAGGCAUGCUGGAGGUAUCAGAAGUGCGAAUGCUGACAUAAGUAACGAUAAAGCGGGUGAAAAGCCCGCUCGCCGGAAGACCAAGGGUUCCUGUCCAACGUUAAUCGGGGCAGGGUGAGUCGACCCCUAAGGCGAGGCCGAAAGGCGUAGUCGAUGGGAAACAGGUUAAUAUUCCUGUACUUGGUGUUACUGCGAAGGGGGGACGGAGAAGGCUAUGUUGGCCGGGCGACGGUUGUCCCGGUUUAAGCGUGUAGGCUGGUUUUCCAGGCAAAUCCGGAAAAUCAAGGCUGAGGCGUGAUGACGAGGCACUACGGUGCUGAAGCAACAAAUGCCCUGCUUCCAGGAAAAGCCUCUAAGCAUCAGGUAACAUCAAAUCGUACCCCAAACCGACACAGGUGGUCAGGUAGAGAAUACCAAGGCGCUUGAGAGAACUCGGGUGAAGGAACUAGGCAAAAUGGUGCCGUAACUUCGGGAGAAGGCACGCUGAUAUGUAGGUGAAGCGACUUGCUCGUGGAGCUGAAAUCAGUCGAAGAUACCAGCUGGCUGCAACUGUUUAUUAAAAACACAGCACUGUGCAAACACGAAAGUGGACGUAUACGGUGUGACGCCUGCCCGGUGCCGGAAGGUUAAUUGAUGGGGUCAGCGCAAGCGAAGCUCUUGAUCGAAGCCCCGGUAAACGGCGGCCGUAACUAUAACGGUCCUAAGGUAGCGAAAUUCCUUGUCGGGUAAGUUCCGACCUGCACGAAUGGCGUAAUGAUGGCCAGGCUGUCUCCACCCGAGACUCAGUGAAAUUGAACUCGCUGUGAAGAUGCAGUGUACCCGCGGCAAGACGGAAAGACCCCGUGAACCUUUACUAUAGCUUGACACUGAACAUUGAGCCUUGAUGUGUAGGAUAGGUGGGAGGCUUGGAAGUGUGGACGCCAGUCUGCAUGGAGCCGACCUUGAAAUACCACCCUUUAAUGUUUGAUGUUCUAACGUUGACCCGUAAUCCGGGUUGCGGACAGUGUCUGGUGGGUAGUUUGACUGGGGCGGUCUCCUCCUAAAGAGUAACGGAGGAGCACGAAGGUUGGCUAAUCCUGGUCGGACAUCAGGAGGUUAGUGCAAUGGCAUAAGCCAGCUUGACUGCGAGCGUGACGGCGCGAGCAGGUGCGAAAGCAGGUCAUAGUGAUCCGGUGGUUCUGAAUGGAAGGGCCAUCGCUCAACGGAUAAAAGGUACUCCGGGGAUAACAGGCUGAUACCGCCCAAGAGUUCAUAUCGACGGCGGUGUUUGGCACCUCGAUGUCGGCUCAUCACAUCCUGGGGCUGAAGUCGGUCCCAAGGGUAUGGCUGUUCGCCAUUUAAAGAGGUACGUGAGCUGGGUUUAAAACGUCGUGAGACAGUUUGGUCCCUAUCUGCCGUGGGCGUUGGAAGAUUGACGGGGGCUGCUCCUAGUACGAGAGGACCGGAGUGGACUCACCUCUGGUGUACCGGUUGUCACGCCAGUGGCAUCGCCGGGUAGCUAUGUGGGGAAAGGAUAACCGCUGAAAGCAUCUAAGCGGGAAACCUGCCUGAAGAUAAGUCUUCCUGGAGGCUUUGACCUCCCUGAAGAGUCGUUCGAGACCAGGACGUUGAUAGGUUGGAUGUGCAAGCGCUGUGAGGCGUUGAGCUGACCAAUACUAAUUGCUCGUGAAGCUUGAUCCU
rnacentral:rRNA from 1 species